UACGUAGGGUGCAAGCGUUGUCCGGAAUUAUUGGGCGUAAAGAGCGUGUAGGCGGCCCGAUUAGUCCGCUGUGAAAGUCCAGGGCUCAACCCUGGAAUGCCGGUGGAUACUGUCGGGCUAGAGUCCGGAAGGGGCGAGUGGAAUUCCUGGUGUAGCGGUGAAAUGCGUAGAUAUCAAGAGGAACACCUGAGGUGAAGACGGGUUGCUGGGCCGACACUGACGCUGAGUGCGCGAAAGCCAGGGGAGCAAACGGG
rnacentral:rRNA from 1 species